UUGAACGCUGGCGGCAUGCUUUACACAUGCAAGUCGAACGGCAGCGCGGGCUUCGGCCUGGCGGCGAGCGGCGAACGGGUGAGUAAUACAUCGGAACGUGCCCAGUAGUGGGGGAUAGCUCGGCGAAAGCCGGAUUAAUACCGCAUACGACCUGAGGGUGAAAGCGGGGGAUCUUCGGACCUCGCGCUAUUGGAGCGGCCGAUGGCAGAUUAGCUAGUUGGUGGGGUAAAGGCCUACCAAGGCGACGAUCUGUAGCUGGUCUGAGAGGACGACCAGCCACACUGGGACUGAGACACGGCCCAGACUCCUACGGGAGGCAGCAGUGGGGAAUUUUGGACAAUGGGCGAAAGCCUGAUCCAGCAAUGCCGCGUGUGUGAUGAAGGCCCUCGGGUUGUAAAGCACUUUUGGCGGGAACGAAAAGGACUGUGCCAAUACCACGGUUCGAUGACGGUACCCGCAGAAUAAGCACCGGCUAACUACGUG
rnacentral:rRNA from 1 species